rnacentral:lncRNA from 1 species
UUUUUUUUUUUUUUUUUUUUUUUUUUUAUUGUGAUUGAAGUACUUGCAGGACACUUCAAGAGACCAUGUGCAGUUAAGAAAAUAAAUGGAUCUAAUGCUAUAAACUCAGUGGGGAAAAAUAUAAUACAUGCUAAAUGUGAGCUAGUUUAAGUCUGAUUCCCCACUAAUGGGUUUGAAGAAUAACUCCUCUGUCUUUUGUGCUGUAAAUUUUGAAGUGCAUUUUUUAACUUUGAAAUUGUUAUGAUGAGAAUGAAAAUUGGUUGUUAGAUAGAGUAAAUAUGUGGUUAUUUAUGAGAUGAGGCUAAGAGAGAUUUGUUUAACUCAAAAAAUAAUCUUUAAUUUGUACCACAUUUAUCUUUACACCCGAAUUCUAUUUCUACAUUGCACAUUUAUUUUCUAGUAUGAGUGCUCAAUAUUGUUUCCUCCAAAUAAUUUUAUGAAAAACAUGAGCCUCCUUGCUACAUUUGGAAAACACUCAAUUUCUUAUGAUCCAUUUUUAUGACCUGUUCUUUCAAAUAGGCUCUAUACUUCAUGUACCUCUUAAAGUCAGACAAAUGCAAAUAUAUUCUGUGAUUAAAAUUUGCAGUUAGUAUAGUUUAGCCUCUUGACACAAGUUUAAAAUAACAAGUUUUUCAAAUGAUUUUACUUUCUAUUACUUAAGCAUCUGAAAAGAGAAGUCCAUAUACAUGAAUCAACAUUACAGUAAGGGAUAUGCCCAGUGUUUAAACUGAAGCAAAAGAAUUCUUCCUAACCAUAGCACUAAACGGUCUUGAAAAUUGUAGGAUAUUCUUCCCACUAUGUUUACUACAAAGAAAUCAAGGAAGGAGCUCAGAAGACAUUUAAACCUUGCUUAGAUUUUGGCUAGAAAUGCAGCACCAGCAUUUGUCAGGAAUGGACAUGCAGUGUUUGCAGAGGCUAUAUCAAAUGACAUCAAUUGUAAAACCAUAUGUAAAAUUGCAUCUACAUAAUACCUGGAAUUAAUUUAUGGAUCACUAAGGAAAGUGGCAGUGCACUUGAUGAGCACAACUCCAGAGCAACAUGCCAGUUCCAAAGAUGACUGAAAGGUUCAUCUCAGCAGGCUGAUUUCUGUACCUGGAAAUAAAAGUAUCAUAGACUGGUAGCACAGUGAUUUAUGAAAUAUAAUGGGAAUGGAAUCUCAGAUCUCAGAAAUCUCCACAUAACCUCUGCACAUCUACAGCUAUCCCUGAAGUCAUGAUGCUGAAUCCUAAAGAGCUGGGAAAGAAAGCAUGCUUUUGUCAGAAGUAGAGCCUUUGCUAUUCUUCAGGAAGGACGCUUUUGUUCAGUUUAGUGCAGUGAGUUACAGCUCAGCAGAACUUUUUGUACUUUGUUUUUGGCUGACAUUGGACUGCAGCUGUGAUACAGAUACCUUUUCAAUGGACCUUUGAGGAACAAAAUGAAAGGUUGAGACAGGGCAAAUAUUUUUAUGAGGUCCUCGGGGGAAGUUGGAUCCCUGGAGAAAAGGAGUGAUGAUCAAAAAUUCACAUAGUAAUCUGACAUUCACUGUUCGCCUGAAAGCUAAACUUUAAACUAAAGGACACACAGGUCACAGUUAGUACAUGCAGUGUCGUGACCACAGCAUCUCUUCUUUCCUCAUUACUUCCAGUAGAGCGUCCCAUGUACACAGCAAUCUGUAGAUCCCUAGAGAGUCAGAUUGCUGUGAAAUAGCCACUCUUCUCUUAAAUGAUAUUGGAAUGAGUUCUUCUGCCAUUAGACCACCAACUCUGCACUGUCAUUCAUACACAGAGCCUUAUAUGAAGGAGUGAUCUGGAAGCCUGAGCUGGGUAUGUACCAGCCACAGUAGAACACACUUUGCAUGUUUCCAGUCAUGUCAUUUGCCCCUGGAGCAUCUUUUACUUCUUCUGAUGCUCAUAAUUUACACUAAUGCCCAAAGGUGAGCUAUUUGUGUCAAUGUGUACACUUAAUGUAUUUUUUAAUCUAUAUAUACAUUUCUGAUAAAAUUAAAUUUUGUAGCUACACUGUAAGGAUGAAUGGAAAUUAGCUAUGUGAAAAGAAAAUACUACAUAAACUGUCAUCUUAAAAAUACCUGACACACUUUCAGAAGAAUACAGUUGUAUGUAUAUUUUAAACAUGUGAAAACUCUUUACUGAAAAGUGGUGUUGGCUGAUGACAGGAAUGCAAUACAGUCUGGGACUAAUGAGUUCUCUAGGGGUGAAAAUUAUCUAUGUAAUUGGGAAGAAAGUUUUCUUUCUUAAACCUGAUUGCUUUAUUUAUUCAGUUUAGUAGAGCAAGUCUUUAUUAUCUGAAUUGCAUGUAAGUUGUUUGCUCUGCCCUUUUUUAUUCCACAUAGAUUUAUCUUGCAUUUGUUUGGGAUUUUUUACACCAGAAAAUACUUUUUCUAAAGAAAAAAAAAAGAAAAAGAAGUGUAAUUAAUCUGCUUCACCAUAGUUGAACAGUUCUUGAGUUGAACUGUUCAGAUUGAAAAAAUAAACCUUCCUUCAUUUAAGAAAACCAUUUCAAUUUUUAAAAUGUAUACUGUGAAAAAUAGUUUUACAGCUCAGUCCAAAUUUAUCUAAGCUUUGCAAGGUUGCUUUCCCUCAAGGGUGGAUGAAAUUCCUUAUAUUUAAUGGCAACUAAGUUAAAAAUAUAUGUGUGUUCAAUGCUUCAUGUUUUGUCCAGAGCAUGUGAAUGGCACCAGUCUUUUCUCCUGAUCUUUUCAGGGAUGCAUCAGUGAGAAGGAUGGCAGGUCUAAGCAUCCCAUCCAGAACACAAGUUGUUAGCCUCUCCAUUCUGACUGCUUUGCUCCUGGGCAUUACUGUCCUUGUAAACAGAUGUUUGGAAAAUUUGAGAUUAACUAAAUUAUUUCCUUUCUUCUCUGUGUAAUAAAUACCAAAGAUUCUGGAUAACAGGAUGUUUUCUCUGUAGGCAUUGCUGACCACUGGUGUAAUAAGGUUCUUGAUUACUUAUGAAAAAGGGAACUUUCAUCCUCUUUGGUUUUAGGUGGUUUUUUCCCCUUCUUUCUUUAAAACUAGUUUAAAAUACAGGUUUUGGGUUUUGAUGACAGGAAAAACAUUAGUUUUUCAAACGAUUCUCACUAGAACUCUGCAACUUUCUGAUGUCAAUCAGUUUAAAAAGUCCUAGCCAGUUCUAUCUUGUACAACUUAUAAAAGAAAACAGCUCAUAGCAUCAUUCCUACUGUCAUGCCUGCAUCUAGCCAACUCAUUAGCCCACCCCAUAACUCAUUAGCAUGAAGAAUUUAGUGGCUUGAGCUCUUGAUGAAAAUCUGCUCUUUCCUGGAUCCAGUUCAGUAUGGAGGAAGGUAAUUUAUCAUUCUUUAGACUGAUUUAAUAAGAUGACAUAGGUUGGCUCUGGUGAAUUAAAAAAUGCUGCAAUAUGACCUGCCAAUAUUGCAAUAUCUGCCAAUACUAGCACCUGGAAGUGAUGCCCUUGCAGUGAUCUUAUGCCUAGUAAAUUAGAGUUUCUAGAACUCUCCAAAGGACACUCAUCUUCCAGUCUUCUCCCCAGAAGCCUAACCCUCCAAAGUCAGUACAGAAACAAUGGCUGGUUCCAAAACAGUGGACCCAGUGGUGACAUGCCGUUGCAGCGUGAUAGAUGACAGGUUGCAACUACUGUUCUGGACUGUCACUGUAAGAUACGCCCUUCUUAAGGGGGAAAGCUUGACUUUUAAAAUGCUCAGGUUCUCUCUGUCCCUAUGCAGCCCAGAAAGGAGGGAACAUGAUUACAACAAAGAUGACUUUUUAAAAUCUGAAAGAGAAGAGCAUAGAGGCUGUUCUGUGACUACUAGUGGCUAUGAAAGAUCUAAAAGAUCCUUCUCCACACAUUUUUUUCUUCUAACAGGAAUUAGAAAUGGUUGCUUGCUGUGCUUUUCCUUAUACGGCAGCAAAACCACCACGUGUUUUUUGGCAUGUAUCAAAUGUGAAGCUGGCUCAGGAACAACUUGUAAAAGGGAGAAAAGUAAGACUUAGCUCCAAUAAGUGCCUUAACAUUCUUUUACAUUCACUUGGCAUGAGGAGGAUGGUAUUUCAACUUGACAUUGACAUGAACAUUUCAAUAGCUGGACACAGCUCGCUGAUAAAACCCAUUGUCUGAGUAGGAAACAAAGCUCUCAUAAACAGCAGCCUCUUUAUAGCAAUUAUAGUAAAAAUUAACCUUUCAAAAGUUAAGUUUCUGUUUGAGGGCCCAGAACAAGGAGUGAAAACAAGGAUUAAUUUCCCAGCAACAAUCUAAGUUCUUGUUUUUUCAAAAGAAAAUCAAACACAGACAGGAUUUUAUGAACAGUAUUUAGGUGCAUGUGAAAAUAUAUCUUUUAAUUUUCCUAUUUAGGGUCUGCUUCCAGAUACAAACACAAAUUAUGAGUCUUAUAUGUGGAAACAAACUUUGCCUGAACUUUGGAAAAUUCAAAACAAAAUAAAGAAAUAACCCAUACAAAAAAUAGCGGUAUUUAGAAAAUGACAAGCUUAGUUUUUUAGCAAUAGAUUUUGACAAGAUCUGGCUGCCUCAUUAUGCUUAGUAUUUUUGGCACACCAUUUGAAUAUAGUACUCUUUCUGAGCACACUGCGCAAGAACAUAGCUUUGAUAUGCUUUAGAAUGCCUGUUCCAUGGUUCUCUGUGUAUUCAUUAGCUUCCAUUGUAUGUUUUUUCAAAAUGUACAUGCAAUUCUUUUCAUCUGUCUCUCCUUCUUCCUGUUCUUUGUUUCCUUUCCUUUGCUUAUAAGCAUUUUAUAUCAGAUUUCUGAAUCUGUUUUACUAUAUUAGAACAGUGCCAAAAAGUGAUAUCAUCUGGAAGUUAAGCAGAGACAUUAUGUAUGUAUUGAAAUUAUUCCCAAGUCAUAUAUCCCAUAUAAAUUAUGCGGGGGGAAUAAAAUGGGGGAAUAAAAUUUCUGUCAUGGCUUGUAACUAAUGUGCAAAAGACUUGCUUUGUCAGACAGUCAGUGAUAUGCACCGUAAGAAACCAUCAUAUUUAGGUUAGGAGUUUGCAGUCCUUUCAGUGGUUUUUGGUGUUGGUUUGGGUUUUUUUUUUCAUUUGAAGGUUUAUUAUCAGUUUUCUGUACAUUCAUCCAGUUAUUUCCGUUUCAGUAGUCUUAUCUCUGGAUGUAUGAUCUUAAACCACUUAUUAAUCUGAAGAUUAAUUUGUUUUAAAGAGAAUUUUUAUCUCCUGAUUAGCAUAAGAAAACCCAAUUUCUUGCUGCUUUAGGUGAAUGGAAAUUCUUUUGGUUUGUAUGUGAUGGCAAACUAGGAUUUCUGCCAGUUCUCUUGACUGUAUUAGAGAAAUUCCAGACAGCUAGAAAAUAGUAGUGGCUUAAUGCAUGUUUAGUAUUGUAAGUCUCCUCUUGAUGGUGCAUUAAUAGAUGUCAUCAGAAGUAUCGUAUAAAAAUGUUGGUGUCAGCAGUGCUAUGCCUAAUGGCAGUCUCCUUGUGAACAGGUUACAAAGAGAGGUGAAAAGGGAUAGAUUAUUGGUUUAGAUCCUUGUCCCUCAUUUAGAGGAAAAGAGGGGUGAAACUGUCACUUUAAAUAAUAGUUUUCUACUUCAGGAGAUGGUUUGUUGAUUAUUCUCGCUUCUUGUAAUGCCAAAGUUGAUUUUUGUGUACUGGAGACACUAAAUGUAAUGCAGAAGCCUGAUACAUAUUCAUAAUUUUGCUCUAAGGCUAAAGUGCUUUCCUUGUAAAUUCAUCUAGCUACAGAUAUUGUAAGUACCAAAAGCAAUUACUUCAUCCCAUCAGAUUGCUAUAAAAGAGAAUACCAUUAAAAUCCUUGUUCUGUAUUUAUUGUUCUAACAGUGAACAAGAAGAACAUUCUGCUGAGACACCAGUGCAAGAACCAAAAUUAGCAUGCUUUUAUGCAAUUAUAUUUGACAAAGCUGGACACCUUUUUUUUUUUUUUUAAUGUGUAAUGUAGUAAAUUUAUGUACCUAUCGAAAACAAUUCAUAAAUCUCUCCAGUGCUAAAUUAUAGUAAAGUGGGAAGACUAGGAAAAUUUAGAAAAAGAACAGCAUGCUUUCCAUAUUCAAGGAAAGACAUGGAAAUCAGAAAAGAAUGCUAAUUUUUCCAGUUGUUGUUUCUAUUCUCUGUUUUUUUCACUGUGUAACACCUAGAAACAAUUAAUUUGUUGGAUUCUACACAGAGUUCAAAAAGAUUUGUCCUGCCCCCAGUACUUACAUAUAAAAUAGAAUUCAAUUCUGUAUAAAACCAAAGGGAUGCUGGAAAACAGGAAAAAAAAAAGAAAAAAGAAAAAAGAAAAAAGAAAAAGAGAAAGAAAAAAAAGAAAAAGAAAAAGAAAAAGA